UGAGGAAUAUUGGUCAAUGGCCGAGAGGCUGAACCAGCCAAGUCGCGUGAGGGAAGACGGCCCUAUGGGUUGUAAACCUCUUUUGUCGGGGAGCAAAAGGCUCUACGUGUAGAGUUUCGAGAGUACCCGAAGAAAAAGCAUCGGCUAACUCCGUGCCAGCAGCCGCGGUAAUACGGAGGAUGCGAGCGUUAUCCGGAUUUAUUGGGUUUAAAGGGUGCGCAGGCGGUCAGGCAAGUCAGCGGUCAAAAUGCGGGGCUCAACCCCGUCGAGCCGUUGAAACUGCCGGACUAGAGUGCGCGAGAAGUAUGCGGAAUGCGUGGUGUAGCGGUGAAAUGCAUAGAUAUCACGCAGAACUCCGAUUGCGAAGGCAGCAUACCGGCGCGCAACUGACGCUCAUGCACGAAAGCGUGGGUAUCGAACAGG
rnacentral:rRNA from 1 species